GAUGAACGCUGACGGCGUGCCUAAUACAUGCAAGUCGAGCGAAUGGAUUAAGAGCUUGCUCUUAUGAAGUUAGCGGCGGACGGGUGAGUAACACGUGGGUAACCUGCCCAUAAGACUGGGAUAACUCCGGGAAACCGGGGCUAAUACCGGAUAAUAUUUUGAACUGCAUGGUUCGAAAUUGAAAGGCGGCUUCGGCUGUCACUUAUGGAUGGACCCGCGUCGCAUUAGCUAGUUGGUGAGGUAACGGCUCACCAAGGCAACGAUGCGUAGCCGACCUGAGAGGGUGAUCGGCCACACUGGGACUGAGACACGGCCCAGACUCCUACGGGAGGCAGCAGUAGGGAAUCUUCCGCAAUGGACGAAAGUCUGACGGAGCAACGCCGCGUGGGUGAUGAAGGCUUUCGGGUCGUAAAACUCUGUUGUUAGGGAAGAACAAGUGCUAGUUGAAUAAGCUGGCACCUUGACGGUACCUAACCAGAAAGCCACGGCUAACUACGUGCCAGCAGCCGCAGUAA
rnacentral:rRNA from 1 species